CCUACGGGAGGCAGCAGUGAGGAAUAUUGGUCAAUGGGCGCGAGCCUGAACCAGCCAAGUAGCGUGAAGGAUGACUGCCCUACGGGUUGUACACUUCUUUUAUAUGGGAAUAAAAUGUUCCACGUGUGGGAUUUUGUAUGUACCAUAUGAAUAAGGAUCGGCUAACUCCGUGCCAGCAGCCGCGGUAAUACGGAGGAUCCGAGCGUUAUCCGGAUUUAUUGGGUUUAAAGGGAGCGUAGGUGGAUUGUUAAGUCAGUUGUGAAAGUGUGCGGCUCAACCGUAAAAGUGCAGUUGAAACUGGCAGUCUUGAGUACAGUAGAGGUGGGCGGAAUUCGUGGUGUAGCGGUGAAAUGCUUAGAUAUCACGAAGAACUCCGAUUGCGAAGGCAGCUCACUGGACUGCAACUGACACUGAGGCUCGAAAGUGUGGGUAUCAAACAGGAUUAGAUACCCUAGUAGUC
rnacentral:rRNA from 1 species